rnacentral:rRNA from 1 species
UACGUAGGGUGCAAGCGUUGUCCGGAAUUAUUGGGCGUAAAGAGCUCGUAGGCGGUUUGUCGCGUCUGCUGUGAAAACCCGAGGCUCAACCUCGGGCCUGCAGUGGGUACGGGCAGACUAGAGUGCGGUAGGGGAGACUGGAAUUCCUGGUGUAGCGGUGAAAUGCGCAGAUAUCAGGAGGAACACCGGUGGUGUAAACGGCUUUCUGGACCAUAACUGACGCUGAGGCACGAAAGCGUGGGUAGCAAACAGG